AAAAGCCCUCUGGAGUUUCACUUUUUAAUUCUUCUGCAACGCUGUUUCGCUUUUUCAGCAAUACCUACAAGUGUUUGCGUCAUUAGGUGAUUCUACAAAGAGCUGGGACAAUGUGGCUGUGUUAGUUGAUGAAACAAUUAUACCACAAGCGCUGUGUAGCCCAAUCCUACAGACCCCAACACGCCAGAACAUAAAACAAAAGGCCCUUCUAAUAAGGAAUAAGAACGCUGGAAACAGACAAUCCGUCCCUGAACAAAGGAUCCGUAAGGGUGAUGCCUACUCGAUAGCCCAUGCGGCUGAAAUCAACCAUGAUAAAAGGUCAUGUGCUUCUCUAAACCUCUCUGUGAAAGCUGCUACCCCUAAAAACGUUCACCAUUGUAAGCCUAAGAAGCAAUUUAUUGAGAUGAGUUGAA